rnacentral:lncRNA from 1 species
CAGUCGGUGUCCAUUGUUCAAUCUCCUCCUGUUGUGCUGCUCUGCUCGCAGAAAAGGCAAAGAUGGUAAACAAUCAAGGAGUCUUCAUUGUGCUUUCUCUUCUCCUUGUUCUCUUCGUCACCGCGGAUGGAGCAUCUCUGGGUCUGUUAUUGGAAUCAAUGAAGCAGCAGGGGCGCCUUGACGUUGAGCCGACAGCGGACGCAUGAAGGCCAGAACAAAAACUGACAACCCGAGUUCAUAAUAUUUGGUAAACCUCGGUACACAAUAGAUGAAAAGCCUAAUAAAGAGUAGCUUCAA